rnacentral:tRNA from 1 species
GCGGGGUUAUCUCAGUUGGUUAGAGCAUGGUGCUAAUAACGCCAAGGUCACAGGUUCAAUCCCUGCUCACUGCA